UCUUAAAAAAAAAAACACCCCAAAACAAAAACAAAAAAAAUUAGUUCUGACAUGAGUGUGUUGGACUGGAAAAUCCAUGUGGACUCUGCCGUCUUUCUUGGUUUCUUCUUCCAUUUGGCUAUCUACCCCCUUCCCUUCCUCCUUCCACCUCACUUAGAGCUAGAAACCUUCCAUGGCAAAUGAUUGGAUUCUAGGUUUGGUUAAAUGCCUACCAUUUACAAAGUACAUUGCUAGCUGCAGUAGGAUUCAGAGGUAAACAACACUGGCUUUCCCCUUAAGGACGCUGGGCCUGACUUGGGUUCACAAAUUGCUAUGACAGAAGACAGUGAAAGAUGCAUGCAUCUUUGGACUGCAUUUUACCAGUUCAAAUAUUUUAUUUUUAAUAAUAUGUAAUAAAAUAUAAGGUAUAACAGGGAAAUGAAAUGCACAGAUCUUAAGCGUGCGGUUCCAAGUAUUUUGAGUGUGAGUGUGACUGUGUGUUGCAGGGGGAAGGUAACAGAAGAGUUGAGUCCCUUCACUGGGUAUGGCAUUUGGAAUAUCAGUGCUAUCAUGUUUUGGCAUGUCUGCUGCCUGCCGUUUUGUUUUUUAAAUUGCCAACUUCAGAAAGUUUAUAAGACUAAGGAAUUCCUGUAUACCCUUUCCCCAGAUUCACCAAUUAUUUACAUUUAUGAAAUCAUUUGAGAAAAAUUUAGAGAAAUCUUGCCCCUUUACCCUUAAAUACUUCAGUUUAUAUUUCAAGGACAUUCUUUUACGUAGUCUGGCUUCCUCUUAGCUGAGCCUUGGGCAUUUCAUUUUCAGACAGUAUUGGGUCAUUCUAUAUCUUAAGUAAAGCUGAUUUAAUGGGAGAGAGAGCUGGAUUGGUUUUCUGCUUGAUGCUGUGCUGGUGGCCUGGCUGUUGGGGGCUGCCUAGGUCACAGGGUCCCCCAGGGAAAAUCUGUUGACUUCCGCAGCUAUGCUUGAGUCUGCUUGUUACUGGACAGCUGGUCUGUCCCCUUAGAGGCUUGGCUGAACUCUGUGCUCUCCUUCCCUCUACUUUGUUCUCGAGUUUUCUGCACAUUCUUCCACCCACAGAUGUGAAUGUCGUGUGAUGUUGGCUUUCCAGUGUCUUGCAUGGCGUGGUAGCAGCAGAAAUGAGCUUGGCUGGGCACCCUCUCUGGGCCUUGGAGGCAAGCCUGGGCUCCUCUGAAAAUACAGGCAGCUUCCUUUCCCUGACUUGCCUGGAGGAGCCAGGCCCUGUGGUGCGGUCUGGCUCUGAGGCCUGUGGUCCUGCUUGGGACUGGCAGUCUUAGGCUGAGGGAACAUUUUCCAGAGUAUAGCCGAGGGACAGAAUGUCUCAGUAAGACGGGCUCGGAGGGGAAGUGUUUUGGAAAGGCCUCUGCUUGCUCUGGGAGGCGUUCAGGAUGCUGAGGUUUUGGAAAUCUAUGGCGGCUCUUCACAACUGCUCCCAGCUUUGGGAGGAGGAAUAGACGGGUGCUCGUUUCCUCGGGUUCAGUGGCAAAGGUGAAGACCAGCACUGCCGACCUGGGACCUGGGCCUCUCCCGGGCCUGGGGAGGACACUGGACUUUGAAGGGGAAUGCAGCCUAGAAGGCCUGGACCCUGGAGUCAGGAGAUGCUGCUCCCAUCCAGUAAGCCCUGGCUGGAGCUCUUCUGGGCACCAACCCUGGCAUAAAACCAGUGGGGCCUCUGGGCCUGCACUCAACAGUGCCUCUGAUGGAGCAGGUUCAGCUUGGUUGUGACCUCUGCUAGAAGCCCUCCCUGGCCUCCCUGUGCACUGAGCUGGUGGUUCCUCCUUUGCGCCCCAGGUACAUGCUCAGAUCUGUGUACCCUACACUUUGUCCUCCAGCUUCGUGUUUGGAUGUUCACAACUCCCAUGAGAAGGGCCCCCGAGAGCUGGCACAGUGCAUGUGUUUCCUCUCCAGACUUCUACAAACCUGGCACAUAAUUGUUUGCUGAAAGAUGGCAUGUUCCUAAAACAGAGGAAGUAGAACCGAAUAAAGCGAAAUCCAACUUCCCACUCCCUGCUCUCACUUCCUCUGGGACAGGCCUUGAGCAAGAGAGACAAAAAGAACAAGAGAUGAUCUUUCCCUUUAAUGGGAUUUCAGUCUGAUCAGGGAGAUAGUAACAGAAAGACUAGACUAGACUAGUGUAUGAUUAAAUGACAUUUGCCAUCCCCAGAAGAGGGAGAGACCUGCAUGGAACAGGGUGGUCAAGGCAGGCUUCCUGGAGGAGGCAAAGACUUAGAUUUAACAGUACCAGAGCUCCAGGAUAGAUCCUCCUCUGACUGAACUCCCUAUUUCUUUCUCCCACCCCAACCUUCCCGGGUCCCCAGCUGAAGGGAUACGUGUGUGUGUGUGUGUACAUGUGCCUGCACACAUGUACACAUGUGGUUAGAAAGGGGGUAUUAGUAUCUCUCUCCUAGGAUGGAGUCUCAAGGACAGGCCCAUCAUCUCCUCAGUUUGCCCCUCUCUCUCCCACUUCACCUAGGGAAUGGAAUAAGAAUGGGAUAAGUAUAACACAAUGAGACGAAUGCAGAACCAACUAGAUGUACACCCAACAAUGUGGAUGAACCUUAAAACAGUGCUGCCUGAAGAAGGCAAGAAACAGAAUGAAAUCUGCAGCACAUCAUUCAUAUAAACUAAAAAUACAUGCACAGAGAAAGGCCACUUUUUUUUUUUUGGAGACAAAGUUUCGCUCUUGUCACUCAGGCUGGAGUGCAAUGGCACGAUCUCGGCUCACUGCAACGUCCACCUCUAGGGUUCAAGCGACUGUCCUGCCUCAGCUUCUAGAGUAGCUGGGAUUAUAGGAGCCCACCACCAUGGCCGGCUAAUUUUUGUCUUUUUAGUAGAGACGGGGUUUCACCAUGUUGCCCAGGCUGGUCUCAAACUCCUGACCUCAGGUGAUCCACGUGCCUCGGCCUCCGAAAGUGCUGGGAUUACAGGCGUGAGCCACCGCACCCAGUCAGCAACGUAUGUUUUGUAGAGACACAGACAAAGAUGUGAUGUCAAACACACUAAUGUGGUUGCCUCAUUUAUGGAUGGGGGACUGGGCUGGUGAAUGAGGAUUAAAGGAAUAAAUAAAUAAAACAAGAGAGGGCCUCUGUACAGAACGGUGAUGACAGCGUGCCGUCGAGGAGAAUGAUGAACUCAAACUUUUGCACCUGAGAGCCAAACAAAAGCUCAAAACCAAAAUCUCUCUUAGAAAUGAUGCCACUGACUUUAGGAUGGCACUCAUAUCUGUGUGAGUGGGAGAGAGAAGGGUUUGGGGCAGGGAUUUGACUGUAGCUGUAAUGUUUUAUUCCUUUAAAAAAGAUAAGAUAAUCUGAAACAAAAUGUUAAUAUCUGUUGAAUCUGGGGAGAGGCUAUGAGGGUUUCUGUUAAACCAUUUUGUGUACAUUUUAAAUACAGUCAUGCAUGAGUUAAUGAUGGGGAAUAAGUUCUUAGAGAUACGUUGUUAAGCAGUUUUGUUAUUGUGUGAACAUUAUCGAGUGUACUUACACAAACUUAGGAUGGAAUAGCUGACUAUAUAACUUAGACUAUAUGGUCUAGCCUAUUGCUUGAAGGCUGCAAACCCAUACUCCAUGUUACUGUACUGAAUAAUGAAGACAAGUGUAAUACGAUGGCAAGUAUUUGUGUAUCUAAACAUAGAAAAGGUACAGUAGAAAUGUGGUAUCGUAGUCUUAUGAGAGUACUGUUGUAUAUGCAAUGCUUUGUUGACUGAAACAUCAUUAUGUGGUUCAUGACUGUAUAUCAUAAUUUUAAAAAAUAUUUUAAGAGGUUGCCAAUCAAGACACUACAAACUAAUUUUGUGGCUUUUGUCAAAAUUCAUUUCUUUCUUUCUUUUUUUUUUUUUUGUUUUGAGACAGGGAUCACUCAAGCAAUCCUUCUGCCUUA
rnacentral:lncRNA from 1 species